AUCAAUAUCCUUUAUAGCAUCCUGCAACACACGGCAAGUAAAAGAUAUACAUGAGACAGAUUCAUUUCACUUUACAUCUUUUAAGUUUCAACCAAAUGUGGGACUUUUCUGAGCUUAUAUGCUACGAAGCUUUGAACCAGUUGGUUUGAUAUCAGAAGUGGGAGGCAAAUAUAACGCAGAACAGAGAAAGAAAAGAAGUAAACAAGUAUGAGUUUACCUUUGCAAGGCUUGUCACAUAUG